rnacentral:antisense_RNA from 1 species
UGCCUGGAGUGAAGAUUCUGCCCAUUGGUCAAGAGACCUCCCUCUCAGAUGCUGGCUCUGCCCCUGCCUUUGGGGGUCGACCCUUGUACUCGCAGGACCUUAGGUGACUCUAUUCUACUUCUCUGAUCAUCCAGGAAACCAAUCUGCCUGAGGACGAGUCAUACUCUGUCCUCCCACCCCAGGCUAGAGAGUGGUAUCUGUCUUUCCACAAGUUAAAGCACAGGUGGUGAAGGGUCUCAUUUCAAGUUGUGGUUUUCUGCCAUGGAGGAAAGUGUUGAAAAAAAGGGAACCUGUACAGCAUAAAGAAUGGGGUUUCACAGAUCCUGUCAAGGGAUCUGAAUGAUGCAGUGUUGCAAUCCCAUUUUAUAAAUGAGGCAACCAAAACUCAAACAGGACCAUAUUGUGACUGAAACAAGGCAUAACAGGUCUUUGACUAGCUAUCCUGUGGGUGUGGCCUCAGGGUAGCCUGCAGAAAGUGGUGAGCAAGGUGGUUGGGAAAAUCAAAGGAGGGGGUAAGGUAGUGGCAGGUAACUAUCGAUAAUCUGCUCUUCUUCACAGAAAGACAGGCAAUUAGAUUGAAAAAUACCUGUGAUUCAAAGAAGUCACAAGUCACAGAGACAAACUUUUCCCAGUGUGUUCGAGUCAGAGAACCUUUGCAAAGACCAACAGGCUAAAAGAGAAAAUACAGUGUCAUA